rnacentral:lncRNA from 1 species
CUCUCACCACGUUGGAGGGCAGCUUCUGCCAGUUCAGCUUCUUCAUUCUCAUUGUUGGUGUCUUCACUGCCUUGCGUGGAGGACUGAUGAAGCCAAGAGGGCAGCUGAAUUGGGGAGCCACAACAGCUUCUAUGUUAUCUCCUGCCAUACCAGGCAAUGGAGGUGGAGGAGGAGGGAUGCCAGGGAGUGGUGGGGCUGGUGGCAAAUUCACGGAGGCUGUGGGGGGCAUGGCUGCUGGUCCAGAGGGCAGGGGUGGAGGUGGUGGGGGUGGGGGUGGAGGAGGUGGGGGUGGAAGGGCAGGAGCAGCGUUGGGUGGAGGGUUAGAGGUCUGUGGUGAGGUGAAGCAGGCUGAGAGCUGUGAGGACGAGGUCUUCUCUUCACAGGCUUGUGGCCCUGAGGGAGCUUCUGGUGUCUUGCAGGGGUUUGGUGAUCCCAUCAGACUCUGAACUGCACUUGUGCAUGGUUCUCGUUCAGUCUGGAUGCCUCCAUUUGCAUUACCAGAAAGACGUUUUUCAGCUCUUUUUUGCUUGUUUGGAUGCUUCUUGAUAGACAAUAGCCUCUCA